CCUACGGGUGGCAGCAGUGGGGAAUAUUGCACAAUGGGGGAAACCCUGAUGCAGCGACGCCGCGUGAGUGAAGAAGUAUUUAGGUAUGUAAAGCUCUAUCAGCAGGGAAGAAAAUGACGGUACCUGAUUAAUCAGCCCCGGCUAACUUCGUUCCAGCAGCCGCGGUAAUACGUAGGGGGCCAGCGUUAUCCGGAUUUACUGGGGGUAAAGGGAGCGUAGAGGGCAGCACAAGUCUGGAGUGAAAGGCAGUGUCUUAACCCUGGAACUGCUUUUGAAACUGUGAAGCGAGAGUGCAGUAGAGGUAAGUAGAAUUCCUAGGGUAGCGGUGAAAUGCGUAGAUAUUAGGAGGAACACCAGUGGCGAAGGCGGCUUACUAAACUGUAACUGACGUUGAGGCUCGAAAGCGUGGGGAGCAAACAGGAUUAGAUACCCCAGUAGUC
rnacentral:rRNA from 1 species